UUCGGUGACUUUUGGAUUUGAAGGGGUUUCACAAAAGGAAAUGGGAACAAAAAGGGAUGGCAGAUUUCCUUUUUAGUCUUUGCUUCCGGUCUCACUCACAUAGACUCCUGGAACCUCCUCUCCCGGAUGAACGCAAGAUGUAGGAUUCCUUACGUCCUAGUCUGAAGUGUUUGGGGGGAGUGACGGUUUAGAAUCCCCACAACAUUUUGGAAAUUGGUCUGAACUGAAAUCAGAAAGUUCCCAAUAGCGGUACUUGGCCUCCAGGCUGUGAGACUGUGAGGUCCUGGAGGACAAGACCUCCUGUGUUUGUCGCUAACGUCACCCAUGUCCCAAGUCUCACCAGGCACCUGGCAGGCCUUCAGAAAAUGUGUAAUGGGUGGCACUUGGCAGCAAAGCUCACAGCUCCUUGGAAAUUGGAGGUAAAUAUAAAAGAAGGCAGGACUCUUAUUUCCUGAAGUCAACAGCCACGCAGAAGGGAGAGGAGGAAGUAAUGUUAGAGACAGAGGGACAGAAGGAGAACCAUUUGAAGAAGGGUCAGCUGUCAACCUACUGCAGGAGAAAAGCCCAAAUUUGACCUUCUUCCAAGUGCAUGACUUAACUCCUCCAGAACAAGGGAAAAAACAACCCACUCCACCCCCCAAAACACCUACCUCAAGCAGCAAUUCCUCCAGAUUCCUUGUGGUGCCCUAGUUACACAGCAGAAAGAACAAAGAAGUGAUUUAAGCAUCUCGACGUUGAAAUAGCUAUUGCCAAACAUCAGAGGAUCAGCAGAAUCAUUAGAUUCCAGAAAAUGCAGAACCUCUGAGGCCUCUGUAUUCUUCCAUCCUGAUGUCAGACUGCUGGCAGCCCACGCCGAGCUGCUUUAUAAGAAUGUGCAGCUAGAAAGAUGGGAGGAGGAAGGAAGGGCAAGGUCGCUCUGCUUGGAAUUUGGAAGCUCUGUGUUGAAGACAAGUUAACCGUCAGUGGACACUGUGGUUUCUCUGUUCCCAAAGAUAAAGGAACACAGGGGUGGCCCGUUCAGCUGAUCAGACACAGAUAUGGAUGUCUCUGAGUUUGUCAGUCAGGGGCCCAAAAGGAAAACACAAUUUAUCCCAGGUGGCUCAAAAAGAAGAAAAAAAAAAAAAAAGGAGACUGUAAUUAAGAGAUGAAGAGAGAUGCAAGCAGGGUUAAGGGAACAAAUGGGAGGUGCCCAGAGAGUUCCAUCAGUUGGGAGCCAUUACCUCCCUGAGCCUAAAGGGCAAAGGGAAGAAGGUAAUUCUGAUGCUGGAACUGCUUUCCCUGUUGGAUGCCUCCCAUUGGCCAAACCGGAAGUCACUAGCAAGGGAGCCCAAGAGGAUGCCUUUCUCAGAGGUCAGCCUCUUGGAGCCAAGAACACCUGAGGAGAGAGAGAGAGGGCGAGAGAUCAAGCACAGGCAGACAG